rnacentral:misc_RNA from 1 species
GAUGAAGAACGUAGCGAAAUGCGAUAACUAAUGUGAAUUGCAGAAUUCAGUGAAUCAUCGAGUCUUUGAACGCACAUUGCGCCCCCUGGUAUUCCGGGGGGCAUGCCUGUCCGAGCGUCAUUGCUGCCCUCAAGCACGGCUUGUGUGUUGGGCUCCGUCCCCCCGGGGACGGGCCCGAAAGGCAGCGGCGGCACCGAGUCCGGUCCUCGAGCGUAUGGGGCUUUGUCACCCGCGCUGUAGGCCCGGCCGGCGCCAGCCGACAACCCAUCAUCCUUUUCAGGUUGACCUCGGAUCAGGUAGGGAUACCCGCUGAACUUAAGCAUAUCAAUAAGCGGAGGA